rnacentral:rRNA from 1 species
CACUCCUACGGGAGGCAGCAGUGGGGAAUUUUGGACAAUGGGCGAAAGCCUGAUCCAGCCAUGCCGCGUGCAGGAUGAAGGCCUUCGGGUUGUAAACUGCUUUUGUACGGAACGAAACGGCCUUUUCUAAUAAAGAGGGCUAAUGACGGUACCGUAAGAAUAAGCACCGGCUAACUACGUGCCAGCAGCCGCGGUAAUACGUAGGGUGCAAGCGUUAAUCGGAAUUACUGGGCGUAAAGCGUGCGCAGGCGGUUAUGUAAGACAGUUGUGAAAUCCCCGGGCUCAACCUGGGAACUGCAUCUGUGACUGCAUAGCUAGAGUACGGUAGAGGGGGAUGGAAUUCCGCGUGUAGCAGUGAAAUGCGUAGAUAUGCGGAGGAACACCGAUGGCGAAGGCAAUCCCCUGGACCUGUACUGACGCUCAUGCACGAAAGCGUGGGGAGCAAACAGGAUUAGAUACCCUAGUAGUCCCAU